rnacentral:rRNA from 1 species
UUGGGGCCAUCUGAGUGUGAGUCUGGAUGUAGAGGUGAAGCAAGGGCCCGGCACACCAGGCAUGUGCCCUGAGCCAUGGUGCAGCUGGCUUACUCGACGGUGGGUGCCAAGGUUCCAGCCACCCACAUCUGUGGGCGAGCGAUGCCCAGGCCACUGGCACAGUGGGUGACCUUCCCUCUUAUCCAGGUACCUGGAUGGGCCCUAUGUGCCUGGAUGGGGUUUGAAGACUCUAGCGGUCCCACCCGACACCCUGUCUGUGUUGUCUCUGGCCCGCCUCGCUGUCCUUCUCCCAGCCCUCCCCCAAAAGGGAAGCGGAAGGGGUCAGGGAAGGAUAAGUGGAUCGGGCCGGGUGGGCAGGUGGCGGAGCGGCCUACCUCCAUCCCCUGGGAAGCGCUGUGCUGCUGCAGGUGGUGGUCAGGCUUCCCGGGCUGAGCACCUGGAUUUAUUUACCUACCUAGCACGCACCUAGACAGGGUGCUGGGCUGUCCCGCACAGAUGGCGCUGCCUCUCCUGCACCGGCAGGGUCAGGCCGAUGUCUGGAACCAAAAAAAAGUUGCCUGUGACUCUUGGCGGUGGAUCACUCGACUCGUGCAUCGAUGAAGAACGCAGCUAGCUGCGAGAAUUAGUGUGAAUUGCAGGACACAUUGAUCAACACUUCGAACGCACCAUGUGGCCCUGGGUUUUUCCUGGGGCUACGCCUGUGUGAGGGUCGCUUGUACAUCAAUCCCCCCAGGGUUCCCUCCCAGGGGUGUGGCUGGGGCUGUCGCAGGGACCCCAUUCCAUUCAUCCCCCGAUCAGCACCGUCGCUGGAUCCUUGGACCUGGCGCGCAAGCUCAUUGGCGACGCGUCCUGGCCUCCCCAGUUUCCCCGCCUCAUGCUGGUUUCGGGUGGCUGUCGCGGGCUGGAAGUGAUGGCGGCGGCAGCAGGCUUUAAAAAAGCUUGGUGCACCUUCACCCUACCCCGGGGCACCUGGCCGUGCUGUGUUUGGCUGUCUUUGGUGUCCCACGGCUGCCGGCGCAGGAUGACCAUGGAGUGCAGACCUCGUGACCAUGUGGGCUUCGGUCGCAGAUUGGGACAGAGCACACUCGCCUGUGCCAGAGGCACAGGGCUGGGGCAACCCCCAUACCGGCCCGCGGCUAGCUGCCCUAAGCUUUGUGCUCCCCGACCACGGCCUCAGAUCAGACGUGGUGACUGCUGAAUUUAAGCAUAUUAAUAAGCAGAGGAAAAGAAACUAACCAGGAUUCCCUCAGUAACGGCCAGUGAAAAGGGAAGUGCCCAAUGCUGAAUCCCCAUUCAGCGGCAGGCGUGGGAAAUGUGGCUUACAGAAGACCGACCCCCGCAUCGCUCAUGGGGCUCAAGUCAUUCUGAUCGAGCCUCACCACGCGGAUGGUGUUAGGCCAGUAGCGGCCUCUUGCACACCGGGAUCAGGUCUUCUUGAAGUCAGGUUGCUUGGAAUGCAGCCCAAAGGCUGUACCCAUAUCCGCAUCAGGUCUCCAAGGCGACAACCUCUGGCAUGUCGGAACAAUGUAGGUACGGGAAGUCGGCAAGUUAGAUCCAUAACUUCGGGAUAAGGAUUGGCUCUAAGGGCUGGGUCGAAGCAGGGCUGGGUGCGCACCAUGGCUGGAUGAGGCGUCUUAACCCCCCCUCCGGUGUCUGCCUCUGAUGCGAGCGCGGCCUUCCUGUGGAUCACCCCAGCUGCAGUUUGCCUCUCUCGUUUCCCCCCUUCUGGGGUUCAGGGCCGGCUUUCUGUCUCGGCCGACACCUAGCAGCUGAUUUGCAACUGGUACAGACCAGGGAAUCUGACUGUUCCAUUAAACAAAUCAUUGCCAAGGCCCGUGGAGGGUGUUGACGCAAUGUGAUUUCUGCCAAGUGCUCUGAAUGUCAAAGUGAAGAAAGCGUGGGUAAACGGCUGGGGUAACUAUGACCUUUAAGGUAGCCAAAUGCCUCAUCAUCUAAUUAGUGAUGUGCAUGAAUGAGAUUACCACUGUCCCUACCUACUAUCUAGUGAAACCACAACCAAGGGAACAAGCUUGUCAGAAUCGUCGGGGAAAGAAGACCCGGUUGGGGUUGACUCUAGUCUAGUGUGAAGAGACAUGAGAGGUAGGAUAAGUGGGGGGCCCUCGGGUCGCUGGUGAAAUGCCACUACUGUUAUUGUUUUUCCACUUACCUGGUGAGGUGCGGGGGCCCCAUGGGGCUCUCGCUUCUGGUUUCGCGCCUCCGGCACCUGCUGGACACGACCCGCUCCGGGGACAGUGGCAGGUGGGGAGUUUGACUGGGGUGGUACACCUGUCAAAGGAUAACACAGGUGUCCUAAGACAAACUCGGGGAGGACAGAAACCUCCCACGGAGCAGAAGGGCAAAAGCUAGCUUGAUCUCGAUUUUUCAGUAUGAAUACAGACCGUGAAAGCGGGGCUUCACGAUCCUGUUGACUUUUUGGGUUUCAAGCAGGAAGUGUCAGAAAAGUUACCACAGGGAUAACAGGCUUGUGGCGGCCAAGCCUUCAUCGCUUUUUGAUCCUUCGAUGUCGUCUCUUCCUAUCAUUGUGAAACAGAAUUCACCAAGCGUCGGAUUGUUCACCCACUAAUAGGGAACGUGAGGUGGAUUUAGACCGUCGUGAGACAGGUUACUUUUACCCUACUGACGAUGUGUUGUUGCAAUAGUAAUCCUGCUCUGUACAAGAGGAACCACAGGUUCAGACAUUUGGUGUGCAUGCUUGGCUGAGGAGCCAAUGGGGCCGGUGUGUAGAGCCGCUCGCAUCGGGACUUGUGUGGACAGAAGGGGGCCACCUCUCACCCGUAGUGCACCGCAUGUUCGUGGGGAAUCUGGUGCUAAAUCGUUCGUAGACCUCCGAAUUCUGGUUCGGGGUUUCAUAAGUAGCAGAGCAGCUACCUCGCUGCGAUCUAUUGGAAGUCCUCCUCUGA